AUGUUACACGGUGCAAUUUUUCUUGCAACUUGCAAUGCAAUUCUACUCUUGAGAGAUGUAAAUAUCGAAAAUUCUUCACAGAUUUCACUAAUUAACAUCUCUCAAGAGUAGAAUUGCAUUGCAAGUUGCAAGAAAAA